GAUGAACGCUGGCGGCGUGCCUAAUACAUGCAAGUCGAGCGAAUGGAUUGAGAGCUUGCUCUUAUGAAGUUAGCGGCGGACGGGUGAGUAACACGUGGGUAACCUGCCCAUAAGACUGGGAUAACUCCGGGAAACCGGGGCUAAUACCGGAUAACAUUUUGAACCGCAUGGUUCGAAAUUGAAAGGCGGCUUCGGCUGUCACUUAUGGAUGGACCCGCGUCGCAUUAGCUAGUUGGUGAGGUAACGGCUCACCAAGGCAACGAUGCGUAGCCGACCUGAGAGGGUGAUCGGCCACAAUGGGACUGAGACACGGCCCAGACUCCUACGGGAGGCAGCAGUAGGGAAUCUUCCGCAAUGGACGAAAGUCUGACGGAGCAACGCCGCGUGAGUGAUGAAGGCUUUCGGGUCGUAAAACUCUGUUGUUAGGGAAGAACAAGUGCUAGUUGAAUAAGCUGGCGCCUUGACGGUACCUAACCAGAAAGCCACGGCUAACUAUGUGCCAGCAGCCGCCGUAA
rnacentral:rRNA from 1 species